rnacentral:RNase_P_RNA from 1 species
GGCAGAGAGAGCCCGGUUCCCGUGCCCCGCAUCCGCGAGGCAUGAGGAAAGUCCCCCCACCGUCCGGACAGGUGACCGGGCGCAAGCCCGGAGUCGGAGACGGCUGGCUCUGAAACAGAAACGAGACCCCUCGACCCGACCGAUGAUGCGUGCGAACCGACCCGUAAGGGAAGGGAGUUAACCCGCAGAGGGAUGCGCGGUCACUUCGUGGCCGCGCGCGGACGGUCGAGAACGGAUGGAACGGUGAAUCCUCACCGGUGCAAGUCCGCGCCGCCAAGGUAGUCCGGACAGCACCCUCGGGACGGCCCGAGGUGCCCCCGGAGUCGUCCGGGGAGGACGCGGACGCUUAGCCGAAUGCCGGGACGAACAGAAGGGGGCUUACUCCUCUCAGCC